GCGCCAGAGCCAAGUUAGCCCUUCUGAUAAUCGUUUAAGUAAAGACUAAGAGAUGUAUGCGGUAACCGACAGUGAAACUAAGCAGGCUAAGCUAACCGAAGCUACUAAGGACUAUCGAGCAAUCCUUAUAAAAAACAAUGACAUUUCUGCAGAAGGGGAUAAUGAAGACCGUGACAUAGACAAGAUGAAUUCUACUCCAGCCAUUUUAACCUAUCACAUAUCUAAUGACCCAGCUUUUUGGACUUCUUUACCAAAUAAAGAUAGAGAUACCAUCGUUUUGAUAAGCCCUCCUUUAAGUCAUGCAGACUUUCCAAGGGAUUCAAGAAACCACAUCUCUCCUAUAUCAGUAUUCACUGAAGUGAUACAAAAUGGAGAGAAACUCGAAUAAGACUGGCUUGUAUGGAAUGAUUCGGCACCCGCCCUUUUCUGCUUCUCUUGUUCUUUUUUGGAUCGCCUUCUGACCCACAUAAGUACAACAUGUCGUUGUUGUUAUUUUAGAGAGGUGGUAUCAAAGACAAUUGGUGGAAACUAGUUAGAAAAAUUAGGUCUUAUCAAUUGUGUAGCCUCCAUCUUCAAACGUAUUAAGAAUGGAAAACAGCACUAAACAACAUGCGCAACCAUAUAGGGAUUGAUUCAAGCCUAGAGAAAGUUAUUGCAAAAGAAACUGAGCGCUGGAAAGAUAUUUUCCGUUGCAUCAUUCAAGUUACCUCAUUCCUUGCAUCAAGAAAUCUCCCAUUCAAAGAAUCUAAUCACAAUGUUUAUCAUGGACACGGCAAUUUUAUUGGCGCUUUAGAAUUGGUUGCUGAACACAACAAGACACUUGCGGAUAACUUGAAAGCAGUUACUGAAAAAGAAAAAGAAGGUAAGCUACACAGGCCCACUAUUUAUCUUCGCGUUCGCAAAAUGAGUUUCUUAGAGAGUGUGGGAAAUUGGUGAAAAUUGAUGCUGUGAAAGAAAUACUUCAGGCCAUCUACUUCACUGUCAUAACUGACGGAACGCCGGACCGUUCACAUAGUGAACAGAUCUGCUUCUAUUUUUGUUUCCUUCGCCUUAGUGAGGAACGGCAGUGGGAGCAACAGUACCAAUUUUUAAAACUAGAAGAAAUGGAGAAAAAGGCAGGAGUCGAUAUUGCUAAUCUAAUCCUUACUGUUCUACAUGAAAACGGACUUGACAUAAAAAAUUGUCGAAGUCAAGGAUACGAUAAUGGUUCAAAUAUGGCUGGAACCUAUAAGGGAGUUAUAAGCCUUAUUAAACAGAAGAGUUCACAAGCAGUCUAUCUACCGUGUGCUGCUCAUAAUCUCAAUUUAUGUGGGGUUCACGCUGUGGAAUCAUCUGUUCUGGCUAAGUCAUACUUUGCAAAUGUCCAGCUUUUAUACAAUGUUUUCAGCAAAAACCUCACACGUUUGAAAAUUUUUCAGGAUCUUCCUAGCCUUUCUUUACACCAAAUUUCACAGACAAGAUAGAGCGCUCAAACUGAAUCUAUAAAGCCACUUUCAAAGAGACCGAGAGAUAAUCAAAACGUUGAAAAAACUGAAAGAAAUGGAUCUCACUGCUGACCUUUUAAAUAAAGUGCGUUCUCUUCUCGAGCUAAUAAAGUCUUUUGAGUUUGUCAUUUUUACUACCUUUUAGUACAAAACUUUAACAGUUGUGAACAAUGCUAUCAUCCUUCUUCAAUCUUGCAGCAUCACCUUGGAUGGCGAGAUUAAAUUUAUAGAGGGAUUGAUUGAAGAUUUAAUGCGAAUUCAUUUCUCCUGGGAUGCCAUCUUGGACGAGUCAAAAGAAGUAGCUUAUAACUUUGGUUUCAAAACUGAUUUUGUUUAAAAAAGAAGAAAGAUAAUAAAAACAUUUCACAACAAACCUAACAACGCAUUUGAAGUUGACGCAUUCAACUCUGGAUUAGAUACCUUCAUCCAUUUGAUUACAGAGAGAUUUCAAGCUCUGAAACAGCAACAUAGACUAUUUUCCUUUAUCUGGUCUACGUCUUACAUCAAUUUGGACUUAACAAACAGUCAAGAAUCUAAAAUUAAAGAUCUUGUACUUCUGAAUCCAAAUGAUCAUAGUGAAGAGGAGUUUAUUGAUGAGUUCCGCCACUUUUCGUCUGCUCGACGCCAUUUACUGAAAAUUAAUUUGCUCUUAGAUCUUCUUAAUAGCAUUUAUGUGAAGGCAUUUGAAGAAAAUUUCCCUAAUACAUGCAUCUGUUUUCUUAUCUUUCUUACUUUGCCAAUACUUGUGGCUGAAGACGAGAGAGGUUUGAGCAAGUUAGCUCUCGUUAAGAACUAUCUAAGAGCUACCAUGGGACAUGAUCGCCAUUAACGACUGUCUUAUCCUUUCAAUGGAAUCAGUACUCUUUGAGGGUUUACCCCUUCAUUUUAUUCGUAGA